GAAACGAUGUGGGAAGGCCCAGACAGCCAGGAUGUUGGCUUAGAAGCAGCCAUCAUUUAAAGAAAGCGUAAUAGCUCACUGGUCGAGUCGGCCUGCGCGGAAGAUGUAACGGGGCUAAACCAUGCACCGAAGCUGCGGCAGCGACACUCAGGUGUUGUUGGGUAGGGGAGCGUUCUGUAAGCCUGCGAAGGUGGCCUGUGAGGGUUGCUGGAGGUAUCAGAAGUGCGAAUGCUGACAUAAGUAACGAUAAAGCGGGUGAAAAGCCCGCUCGCCGGAAGACCAAGGGUUCCUGUCCAACGUUAAUCGGGGCAGGGUGAGUCGACCCCUAAGGCGAGGCCGAAAGGCGUAGUCGAUGGGAAACGGGUUAAUAUUCCCGUACUUGGUGUUACUGCGAAGGGGGGACGGAGAAGGCUAUGUUGGCCGGGCGACGGUUGUCCCGGUUUAAGCGUGUAGGUGUGUGUUCCAGGUAAAUCCGGUUCACUUUAACACUGAGGCGUGAUGACGAGGCACUACGGUGCUGAAGCAACAAAUGCCCUGCUUCCAGGAAAAGCCUCUAAGCAUCAGGUAACAUCAAAUCGUACCCCAAACCGACACAGGUGGUCAGGUAGAGAAUACCAAGGCGCUUGAGAGAACUCGGGUGAAGGAACUAGGCAAAAUGGUGCCGUAACUUCGGGAGAAGGCACGCUGACACGUAGGUGAAGUGAUUUACUCAUGGAGCUGAAGUCAGUCGAAGAUACCAGCUGGCUGCAACUGUUUAUUAAAAACACAGCACUGUGCAAACACGAAAGUGGACGUAUACGGUGUGACGCCUGCCCGGUGCCGGAAGGUUAAUUGAUGGGGUCAGCGCAAGCGAAGCUCCUGAUCGAAGCCCCGGUAAACGGCGGCCGUAACUAUAACGGUCCUAAGGUAGCGAAAUUCCUUGUCGGGUAAGUUCCGACCUGCACGAAUGGCGUAAUGAUGGCCAGGCUGUCUCCACCCGAGACUCAGUGAAAUUGAACUCGCUGUGAAGAUGCAGUGUACCCGCGGCAAGACGGAAAGACCCCGUGAACCUUUACUAUAGCUUGACACUGAACAUUGAGCCUUGAUGUGUAGGAUAGGUGGGAGGCUUUGAAGUGUGGACGCCAGUCUGCAUGGAGCCGGCCUUGAAAUACCACCCUUUAAUGUUUGAUGUUCUAACGUGGACCCGUGAUCCGGGUUGCGGACAGUGUCUGGUGGGUAGUUUGACUGGGGCGGUCUCCUCCUAAAGAGUAACGGAGGAGCACGAAGGUUGGCUAAUCCUGGUCGGACAUCAGGAGGUUAGUGCAAUGGCAUAAGCCAGCUUGACUGCGAGCGUGACGGCGCGAGCAGGUGCGAAAGCAGGUCAUAGUGAUCCGGUGGUUCUGAAUGGAAGGGCCAUCGCUCAACGGAUAAAAGGUACUCCGGGGAUAACAGGCUGAUACCGCCCAAGAGUUCAUAUCGACGGCGGUGUUUGGCACCUCGAUGUCGGCUCAUCACAUCCUGGGGCUGAAGUAGGUCCCAAGGGUAUGGCUGUUCGCCAUUUAAAGUGGUACGCGAGCUGGGUUUAGAACGUCGUGAGACAGUUCGGUCCCUAUCUGCCGUGGGCGCUGGAGAACUGAGGGGGGCUGCUCCUA
rnacentral:rRNA from 1 species